AGAGUUUGAUCCUGGCUCAGGAUGAACGCUAGCUACAGGCUUAACACAUGCAAGUCGAGGGGAAACGACAUCGAAAGCUUGCUUUUGAUGGGCGUCGACCGGCGCACGGGUGAGUAACGCGUAUCCAACCUGCCCACCACUUGGGGAUAACCUUGCGAAAGUAAGACUAAUACCCAAUGAUAUCUCUAGAAGACAUCUGAAAGAGAUUAAAGAUUUAUCGGUGAUGGAUGGGGAUGCGUCUGAUUAGCUUGUUGGCGGGGUAACGGCCCACCAAGGCAACGAUCAGUAGGGGUUCUGAGAGGAAGGUCCCCCACAUUGGAACUGAGACACGGUCCAAACUCCUACGGGAGGCAGCAGUGAGGAAUAUUGGUCAAUGGGCGAGAGCCUGAACCAGCCAAGUAGCGUGCAGGAAGACGGCCCUAUGGGUUGUAAACUGCUUUUAUAAGGGAAUAAAGUGAGUCUCGUGAGACUUUUUGCAUGUACCUUAUGAAUAAGGACCGGCUAAUUCCGUGCCAGCAGCCGCGGUAAUACGGAAGGUCCGGGCGUUAUCCGGAUUUAUUGGGUUUAAAGGGAGCGUAGGCCGGAGAUUAAGCGUGUUGUGAAAUGUAGACGCUCAACGUCUGCACUGCAGCGCGAACUGGUUUCCUUGAGUACGCACAAAGUGGGCGGAAUUCGUGGUGUAGCGGUGAAAUGCUUAGAUAUCACGAAGAACUCCGAUUGCGAAGGCAGCUCACUGGAGCGCAACUGACGCUGAAGCUCGAAAGUGCGGGUAUCGAACAGGAUUAGAUACCCUGGUAGUCCGCACGGUAAACGAUGGACGCCCGCUGUUGGUCUGAACAGGUCAGCGGCCAAGCGAAAGCAUUAAGCAUCCCACCUGGGGAGUACGCCGGCAACGGUGAAACUCAAAGGAAUUGACGGGGGCCCGCACAAGCGGAGGAACAUGUGGUUUAAUUCGAUGAUACGCGAGGAACCUUACCCGGGCUUGAAUUGCAGAGGAAGGAUUUGGAGACAAUGACGCCCUUCGGGGUCUCUGUGAAGGUGCUGCAUGGUUGUCGUCAGCUCGUGCCGUGAGGUGUCGGCUUAAGUGCCAUAACGAGCGCAACCCCUCUCCUUAGUUGCCAUCAGGUUAAGCUGGGCACUCUGGGGACACUGCCACCGUAAGGUGUGAGGAAGGUGGGGAUGACGUCAAAUCAGCACGGCCCUUACGUCCG
rnacentral:rRNA from 1 species